AUUCUCUCAGUGCUGCCCUGAGAUGGCCAUGCAAGGAAGCCAGUCUACCCUACUGAAGAAUGAGAGAUCACGUAGAGGAGAACAGAGGUGCCCGAGCCCACGGCCAGCGUCAACUGCCAGACAUACUCCACAGUUUUCCCAGGUUUGCCAGACAAAGGUGGAAGUCUUUCUGAAAGAACCAACCCUUGUGAGGUAUGGUUAGUAUGGUCACCGGCAGCUCUGGAGACCAGAAACAGAAGGGAUAUUUGCAACUUUAUUCUGCUGUGAUAACUCCUGUUUUCUCUCUGAGCCUGUCAAUUUGAUAUCCCUCGCUAACACUGAACAGGAUUGAAAAGAAAUGGGUCAGAUAGCCAUUGCUUGCAGUUUAUACAAUACAAAAAUGAAAUCUUGAAAUAACACCAGCUGAAGAGACUAGCCAUUAAAUAAA